UUCGCCCCCGCUCCCUUCUCCUCCGUCACCCGCUUCCUCUCCGUCGCCCGCGCCGCCCUACAUGGCCCGCGUCGGCACCGCCCCUGUUUACCCGAUCUCCGCCGGCAUCUUCCUCUCCCUUCCCACCGUCGCCUUUCUCCUCCAGGAAUCUCCUCUUCCUUUCAAGGUCAAAGGUCAAACUUUUAUGCGCUCGAUCUGCGGGGAACGACGACGAUGGCACAGGCGCGUCGCGGCAGGCGAGCCAGUGAACCCGUAGACCUACCUGUGCUGGAGUCCGCUACCGCAGGCUAGCUUCUCGGAGCACAAUCUGCUUGGCCGCGGCGGCUUCCGCUCCGUCCACAAUCUGCAAGCACCUCGCAACCUCACACACCUCCUUUGUCCUUCUCGCUUUGAUUCAGACCGUGCUGGAGGGCCGGCAGGAGAUCACGGUGAAGCGGCUGUCCUGGAGGCGUGGCAGUGGUGCGGGAGUUCCUCAGCGAGGUGCGCCUGCUUCUCAAGGUGCGGCACUGGAACCUCGUCUCCCUCAUAGUGCACCAAAUGCAGUGGAAGAAGAUCUAGGGGACAUGGACAAAUAAGUCUGAAAUGCUUGUUAACUUAGGGUUGUACGAGCUAGUACUACAAUUGAGUGGAUGCAACUGUUUGUCAAUAAUUUCUCACCGGAUAUAUAUUAGGAACGCUGGUUAGUUUUACGGAGAGUAGAGUUAGGUUCAGGACUGAUCGGGAGAACUAAGUAUCUUUCUAAAAAUCAUGUUUGUGCGAGUUUCCUGGUUUUUUAACCUCAAAAGGCACUAGGUACCACAUCUGACCGCUGUCAAAAAACAAAUUGGUAUCACACCAGACCAUUUCAUUAUUAGACUUUUUGUUUAUCAGUACAAUGCAUCGUGCAAAACUACCACAAAGUUUGGUGCAUAGGGAAUUACAUUUGCUGCUUGUAGUAAGUUGAAAUUUGCUGGUGUUUUUACUAUGCAGGUUAGAUCUGCAAAAUUUGGCUGUCAUCUGAUCAUGCAGGAGCUUGUAGUUGACACAAUGCAAAGCUUCGGCCGGUUCCCAUGUGUUCACUUACUGCUGCUGUCAAUCACAACAAAAAUUGAUGUGCACUCUCAUUGUAAAACUCUCUGUUUGUAGGAUUUAUACACUAGAGUUCUAAUAAUAUGCAUGAAAUGGUUGCUCAAAAUAAGAAGAUGAAUGAUCAAGGUUGUAACAGAGGAUAGAGAGCAUGCUAAGACCAUGACCUCCUUCCAUGCUUGAUAUCAUGACUUCCUUCCAUGCUUGCUACUAUUAGACUUGGUUUUGGACAUUUCUGCAUAUGUACAAAGGCUCUAUGCUGAGACCUGGUUUUGGAAAUUUCUACCAGUAUUUGUUUUUAAUUCUUGAUUUCUGAGAUUUGGAUGAAUUUGGAAUUGGAAUUACCGUUUUUGGUUUUAAUCUCAUCUGGUUGUCUUCCAUGUGCAUGUUUAUGGUGUUAUGCAAUCUUACUUUCAAUUUAUAGCUAAACAAGGUGUGGUAGAGUAGUUUAUGCACCUGACAAUCUCUUGAAAAAUAUGUGUGAGAAGUUGUCCUGCAACCAUAACAAGAUAUGGUUUGGUUCUUUUUUCGUUAUGUUAACCAAGGUCUAUAAUGAUGGAUGUUUAAAGAUUGUGAAUCUUAGUUUGUCGAUUAGAUUUUGCAGACGGGACAAACUUAUCAGCGUUUAUUCAUAGCAGUUCAGGAACCAAUAUUUUCAGAGUUGCUAGAGUGCUGAUAUAGCAUCUUCUUCAGCCCAGGUGCCUUCUUCUUCAGGUGGACUCGAAUUAAGGUCUGGCAUAACCAUGGCUACCUGCUGCUGCUCGGGGUGGCGAUCUAAUGCUAAUGAGGAGUAUCCAUCUGCUGCUGCUGGGGAGACGAGGUGAUGGAGCCAGCGAUCUGCUGCUGCUCGGGAGACGAGAAGAUGGAGCCAGCGAUCUGCUGUGGAGGCGGCUAGGAGGAGAAGCUGGUGAGGUGUUUGUACCGCAGAUCGCCACCGGCGAGGUGCUGGGCGAGCAGGAGCACCUCGGAUGGUGAGAUUCUGG